rnacentral:rRNA from 1 species
UACAGAGGUCUCAAGCGUUGUUCGGAUUCAUUGGGCGUAAAGGGUGUGUAGGUGGCGCCGUAAGUCGGGUGUGAAAUUUCGGAGCUUAACUCCGAAACUGCAUUCGAUACUGCGGUGCUUGAGGACUGGAGAGGAGACUGGAAUUCCUGGUGUAGCGGUGAAAUGCGCAGAUAUCAGGAGGAACACCGGUGGCGAAGGCGGGUCUCUGGGCCGAAACUGACGCUGAGGAGCGAAAGCGUGGGGAGCGAACAGG